rnacentral:rRNA from 1 species
AACGAACGCUGGCGGCAUGCCUAACACAUGCAAGUCGAACGAAGCCUUCGGGCUUAGUGGCGCACGGGUGCGUAACGCGUGGGAAUCUGCCCUUGGGUUCGGAAUAACAGUUAGAAAUGACUGCUAAUACCGAAUGAUGUCUUCGGACCAAAGAUUUAUCGCCCAAGGAUGAGCCCGCGUCGGAUUAGCUAGUUGGUGAGGUAAAGGCUCACCAAGGCGACGAUCCGUAGCUGGUCUGAGAGGAUGAUCAGCCACACUGGGACUGAGACACGGCCCAGACUCCUACGGGAGCAGCAGUGGGAAUAUUGGACAAUGGGCGAAGCCUGAUCCAGCAAUGCCGCGUGAGUGAUGAAGGCCUUAGGGUUGUAAAGCUCUUUUACCCCGGGAUGGAUAAUGACAGUACCGGGA